UACGGAGGGUGCAAGCGUUAUCCGGAAUCACUGGGUUUAAAGGGUACGUAGGCGGUUUUUUAAGUCAGUCGUGAAAGUUUGUGGCUCAACCAUAAAAUUGCGAUUGAUACUGGGAGGCUAGAAUUUAGUAGAGGCUGGCGGAAUGUAACAAGUAGCGGUGAAAUGCUUAGAUAUGUUACAGAACACCGAUUGCGAAGGCAGCUGGCUAUGCUAAUAUUGACGCUGAGGUACGAAAGUGUGGGUAGCAAACAGG
rnacentral:rRNA from 1 species